rnacentral:misc_RNA from 1 species
GAUGAAGAACGUAGCGAAAUGCGAUAACUAAUGUGAAUUGCAGAAUUCCGUGAAUCAUCGAGUCUUUGAACGCACAUUGCGCCCCCUGGUAUUCCGGGGGGCAUGCCUGUCCGAGCGUCAUUGCUGCCCAUCAAGCACGGCUUGUGUGUUGGGUCCUCGUCCCCCCCGGGGGACGUGCCCGAAAGGCAGCGGCGGCACCGCGUCCGGUCCUCGAGCGUAUGGGGCUUUGUCACCCGCUCUGCAGGCCCGGCCGGCGCUGGCCGACGCGAAAGCAACCAUUUUUUCUCCAAGUUGACCUCGGAUCAGGUAGGGAUACCCGCUGAACUUAAGCAUAUCAAUAAGCGGAGGA